UACGUAGGGGGCAAGCGUUGUCCGGAAUCAUUGGGCGUAAAGAGCGUGUAGGCGGUUCAGUAAGUCUGCUGUGAAAGUCCAGGGCUCAACCCUGGGAUGCCGGUGGAUACUGCUGGGCUAGAGUACGGAAGAGGCGAGUGGAAUUCCCGGUGUAGCGGUGAAAUGCGCAGAUAUCAGGAGGAACACCAAUUGCGAAGGCAGCUCGCUGGGACGUUACUGACGCUGAGACGCGAAAGCGUGGGGAGCAAACAGG
rnacentral:rRNA from 1 species